rnacentral:rRNA from 1 species
GACGAACGCUGGCGGCGUGCCUAAUACAUGCAAGUUGAGCGCUGAAGGUUGGUACUUGUACCAACUGGAUGAGCAGCGAACGGGUGAGUAACGCGUGGGGAAUCUGCCUUUGAGCGGGGGACAACAUUUGGAAACGAAUGCUAAUACCGCAUAAAAACUUUAAACACAAGUUUUAAGUUUGAAAGAUGCAAUUGCAUCACUCAAAGAUGAUCCCGCGUUGUAUUAGCUAGUUGGUGAGGUAAAGGCUCACCAAGGCGAUGAUACAUAGCCUGACUGAGAGGGUGGUACGCCACAUUGGGAAUGAGACACGGCCCAAACCCCUACGGGAGGCAGCAGUAGGGAAUCUUCGGAAAUGGACGAAAGGCUGACCGAGCAACGCCGCGUGAGUGAAGAAGGGUUUCGGAUCGUAAAACUCUGUUGGUAGAGAAGAACGUUGGUGAGAGUGGAAAGCUCAUCAAGUGACGGUAACUACCCAGAAAGGGACGGCUAACUACGUG